CUCAGGUGUUGUUGGGUAGGGGAGCGUUCUGUAAGCCUGUGAAGGUGUGUCGUGAGGCAUGCUGGAGGUAUCAGAAGUGCGAAUGCUGACAUAAGUAACGAUAAAGCGGGUGAAAAGCCCGCUCGCCGGAAGACCAAGGGUUCCUGUCCAACGUUAAUCGGGGCAGGGUGAGUCGACCCCUAAGGCGAGGCCGAAAGGCGUAGUCGAUGGGAAACGGGUUAAUAUUCCCGUACUUGGUGUUACUGCGAAGGGGGGACGGAGAAGGCUAUGUUGGCCGGGCGACGGUUGUCCCGGUUUAAGCGUGUAGGUGUGUGUUCCAGGUAAAUCCGGUUCACUUUAACACUGAGGCGUGAUGACGAGGCACUACGGUGCUGAAGCAACAAAUGCCCUGCUUCCAGGAAAAGCCUCUAAGCAUCAGGUAACAUCAAAUCGUACCCCAAACCGACACAGGUGGUCAGGUAGAGAAUACCAAGGCGCUUGAGAGAACUCGGGUGAAGGAACUAGGCAAAAUGGUGCCGUAACUUCGGGAGAAGGCACGCUGACACGUAGGUGAAGUGAUUUACUCAUGGAGCUGAAGUCAGUCGAAGAUACCAGCUGGCUGCAACUGUUUAUUAAAAACACAGCACUGUGCAAACACGAAAGUGGACGUAUACGGUGUGACGCCUGCCCGGUGCCGGAAGGUUAAUUGAUGGGGUCAGCGCAAGCGAAGCUCCUGAUCGAAGCCCCGGUAAACGGCGGCCGUAACUAUAACGGUCCUAAGGUAGCGAAAUUCCUUGUCGGGUAAGUUCCGACCUGCACGAAUGGCGUAAUGAUGGCCAGGCUGUCUCCACCCGAGACUCAGUGAAAUUGAACUCGCUGUGAAGAUGCAGUGUACCCGCGGCAAGACGGAAAGACCCCGUGAACCUUUACUAUAGCUUGACACUGAACAUUGAGCCUUGAUGUGUAGGAUAGGUGGGAGGCUUUGAAGUGUGGACGCCAGUCUGCAUGGAGCCGACCUUGAAAUACCACCCUUUAAUGUUUGAUGUUCUAACGUGGACCCGUGAUCCGGGUUGCGGACAGUGUCUGGUGGGUAGUUUGACUGGGGCGGUCUCCUCCUAAAGAGUAACGGAGGAGCACGAAGGUUGGCUAAUCCUGGUCGGACAUCAGGAGGUUAGUGCAAUGGCAUAAGCCAGCUUGACUGCGAGCGUGACGGCGCGAGCAGGUGCGAAAGCAGGUCAUAGUGAUCCGGUGGUUCUGAAUGGAAGGGCCAUCGCUCAACGGAUAAAAGGUACUCCGGGGAUAACAGGCUGAUACCGCCCAAGAGUUCAUAUCGACGGCGGUGUUUGGCACCUCGAUGUCGGCUCAUCACAUCCUGGGGCUGAAGUAGGUCCCAAGGGUAUGGCUGUUCGCCAUUUAAAGUGGUACGCGAGCUGGGUUUAGAACGUCGUGAGACAGUUCGGUCCCUAUCUGCCGUGGGCGCUGGAGAACUGAGGGGGGCUGCUCCUAGUACGAGAGGACCGGAGUGGACGCAUCACUGGUGUUCGGGUUGUCAUGCCAAUGGCACUGCCCGGUAGCUAAAUGCGGAAGAGAUAAGUGCUGAAAGCAUCUAAGCACGAAACUUGCCCCGAG
rnacentral:rRNA from 1 species